rnacentral:rRNA from 1 species
UGCAGUCGAGCGAACAGAUAAGGAGCUUGCUCCUUUGACGUUAGCGGCGGACGGGUGAGUAACACGUGGAUAACCUACCUAUAAGACUGGGAUAACUUCGGGAAACCGGAGCUAAUACCGGAUAACAUAUUGAACCGCAUGGUUCAAUAGUGAAAGGCGGCUUUGCUGUCACUUAUAGAUGGAUCCGCGCCGUAUUAGCUAGUUGGUAAGGUAACGGCUUACCAAGGCAACGAUACGUAGCCGACCUGAGAGGGUGAUCGGCCACACUGGAACUGAGACACGGUCCAGACUCCUACGGGAGGCAGCAGUAGGGAAUCUUCCGCAAUGGGCGAAAGCCUGACGGAGCAACGCCGCGUGAGUGAUGAAGGUCUUCGGAUCGUAAAACUCUGUUAUCAGGGAAGAACAAAUGUGUAAGUAACUGUGCACAUCUUGACGGUACCUGAUCAGAAAGCCACGGCUAACUACGUGCCAGCAGCCGCGGUAAUACGUAGGUGGCAAGCGUUAUCCGGAAUUAUUGGGCGUAAAGCGCGCGUAGGCGGUUUUUUAAGUCUGAUGUGAAAGCCCACGGCUCAACCGUGGAGGGUCAUUGGAAACUGGAAAACUUGAGUGCAGAAGAGGAAAGUGGAAUUCCAUGUGUAGCGGUGAAAUGCGCAGAGAUAUGGAGGAACACCAGUGGCGAAGGCGACUUUCUGGUCUGUAACUGACGCUGAUGUGCGAAAGCGUGGGGAUCAAACAGGAUUAGAUACCCUGGUAGUCCACGCCGUAAACGAUGAGUGCUAAGUGUUAGGGGGUUUCCGCCCCUUAGUGCUGCAGCUAACGCAUUAAGCACUCCGCCUGGGGGAGUACGACCGCAAGGUUGAAACUCAAAGGAAUUGACGGGGGACCCGCACAAGCGGUGGAGCAUGUGGUUUAAUUCGAAGCAACGCGAAGAACCUUACCAAAUCUUUGACAUCCUUUGACCGCUCUAGAGAUAGAGUCUUCCCCUUCGGGGGACAAAGUGACAGGGGGUGCAUGGGUUGUCGUCAGCUCC